rnacentral:RNase_P_RNA from 1 species
UGAGUAAGCCAGAUAAUCGCAGGUAUAAUGUCGAAAGGCUGUAUCUGAGGAAAGUCCGGGCUCCACAGGGCAAGGGUGCCGGGUAACUCCCGGUGAAGGCGACUUUAAGGAAAGUGCAACAGAGAUAUACCGCAAGCUGGAGGUUAGAGGUGAGCUUCUCACUUCUCGCUUCCAGUAUUGUAAGGGUGGAAAGGUGAGGUAAGAGCUCACCAGCGGCAUGGCGACUUGCCGGUCUAUGUAAACCCCAUCCGGAGCAACACCGCAAAGGGACAUAUUGGCGGCCCGUCAGUCCCGACAGGUGGCUUGAGCCAUUCAGAAAUGUCUGGCCUAGAUAGAUGAUUAUCCAAUACAGAACCCGGCUUACAGGCUUACUCAUUAU